UUUGCAUCGCGAGACCCUCUUGCUCUCUCGCCGACAUAAUACCUGGCGACGCUGAUAAGGUCGCCGUUUACAGAGAUAACUAUGCAACGUUUGAAGAGGCACUAUCGACCGAAAGAGGCGCGAUAGGCGCCAUUUCCGAGGCCGAGCGAAGAAACGCACGAACCGACAGCGUGCUGGGAAUAUUUUCCAGAGAUUGCCUGUUCCACCUAAUCUAUUACAUCUAUCUUCUUUCUUUUUUUUCUCUUUCGUUGGUUCUGAUCGGUAGCUCGCGCUAAACAAGACCUGCUACCAGCAGUCACGAUUGAAAUCAUCGCGUCUAUUAUUUCGAAUGAAUUCCGAUUUAAAUUUGAACGGGUUCUCUUCAUUUAAUCUCUUUUUUUUAUAAAAAAAUGUCUAGUAAAACCUUGUUAGACAUUCUUUACUGGCAAUUCCAACAGAGAAUGUGACGAGUAACUUCGGAACCGGAAGUGUGAGCAAAUUAUACUGGAUCGUUGAGUUUUUCUACAGAAUGGAUUGCAGAGUGUCGGUGAUAUAGUUUUCUUCUCUUUCCGCAUCCCACGCGAUAAGCCUCGUUUAAAGUAUCCGUCCUUAAAAGGUUGAAAACAAUCCGCGUUCAAUAUUUGCAGUGAUUUCGACGCGAUGGCGGCGAUAAGAAAGUGAUCACCGUAAGAUAAGUGGAUCACCGUUCGAUGCAUGAACUUUUAUUGCUUUUGGACGAAUUGAAUUUUUCUUUGUUGUUGGCGGCGCCGGCGGUUUCUCGAAAAGUUUUAUUCACGUGCGUGAAACGUGUGCCGACAUUCCCCCCCUCUGUUUCCUCCGCGUAAUUAUAUGCGCGUUUACCUUGCGACAGGAAUUUCAAUUGGAUCCAGUUUGCGCACAGCUGACAGAGCCCAACGAAUCGCCCGUGAUUUUUUAUACUGCCGCGGGGAAAUCGUAAAAAAGAGAAGAUACACGAAUAAUCUAAUAUUCUGGAACGAACUUAAAGAAAUCGAGCAGUAUGUUAUUCGUGACAUUUACUUAUAAAUGUCUAAGUUUGUAUUGCGUAGCUUGAAGAACCAGGAAAAAUGACAGGAAAUAUAAAAUUCUUUCGACAGACUCUACUCUACCCGGAUAAUUUGAUGACAACUUGCCAUACGAGUAACACUUUUCGCGUUUAUUUGGUGAAAUAUUUAUGCAGAUUUAUUCGCGAACGGAUUGGACUCCGAACGUAUAUUCCAAUCGCAUAAUCGUUUCAAAAACAGACUAUGAUCGCAUGCUACAUCUCGAUACACAGAGUGGUCCUCGCGGAUGGAAUCACUUAUGUAGAUGAAAAAACUGAUUAGAGCAUGAUAUGCUCAAAAAUUUCUAUAAGCUCGAAACUAAAAAAUGUUCAACAAUUCUUCGAGUCCUUGAUGGUAAGUGUCCAUGAUGUAGCGACGUCGAGGAAGAAAUAAUAAAUAUUUCUAGAAUCACCCUGUAAACUUUUUGCGCGAGAGUAAAUGUUUUCGAAACGACACAGUUACUCUUUCCUCUUUGUACAACGACUCUUUAUCAGCCGCGAGGUCGCGUAAAAAGGUACCACCGGCGCGACCUACAUCCUACACGUUUAGCAUACUUCGUACCAGUUUCGAUUUUGAAAUAAAACACUGACGCGAUUCAACACGUGUCUUGCACGCCGAUCCACGAGUCAAUCGGUACCGUGGGCGUAGCUCGACGAUAAACGUUGCUUCGCGAGCUUGCUGGCGGUUUUUCCCAUUUUCCUGGCGGACGCAUGCCAGCGGCGCGGGUCACGUUGCACCGAUUCCAGGUAGCGGCACGUCGACGGGGCUGAACCGGCGGUAAACACGAGUGGGAAGCACUGACGGGCACCGUUGUGACCGUAGCAUAAUGCGAUACCGAGCUGACUGGCCGCAAAACGUACGAGCAGAAGAACGAAGGGACGAAACCGAUGGACAGGCGAGUGGCAUUCGUCGUUUGAGCCAACGGGCUGGAGGAGAAUGUCAGCAGGACUGAAGAGAGAGGGAACGCCACUGUGUGGAUGGAGGACAGAUCCUUCAUGGUGAACGGAGAGGGGACGAUUAUUCGUGAGAGGAGGGAGCUUGGAGGAAGAGGAGGAUUUUAAUAAACGAAGAUGAACAUGAGUUGGUUUGAUUCGGUGCAGAGAUGGAGAGGGGAUUAGAUCGACUGGUUGAUGAGGGAGGUAAUUGAGAUGGGGUCUUUGGAAAGAGACGAAAGGGCUUUAAGGAGCGUUCCAAAUAUUUAAUAAGGAUUGACAGAUGAACAGAAUGGGAUUAAGUAUUUGAUAAGAGCGCGUGAACCCAGGAAGAAAAGAGUGGACCUAUUUUUAAAAGUUCCUUAACGAGAUAUCCGGACAGGGUAUCCUUGAACAUAGAAGGAGGUAAACUUUCGGGAGACAAGAGUUUUAAUAAACGAAGACAAGCACAAGUUGGUUUGACGUGAAACAGUUAAUAAAGAGUUGACGUGGAUCGUAUCGAGUAACUGAUGGGGUAAGGUGAUCGAUGAGAGUUUCCGAAGUUUCUCUUGACACCAAGUAGCUGCGAGGGGUGGAAGUAUGUUAAAAAUAUUAUCUAACGUUAGGAAUGAAUUUUUAGUAAGUUGAUAUAUAGUUUCCCUAAAUAUUGGAACACGUACCGACGUAGUAGAGCUUCGAUGCUUCUAGAGGGUUCUAAGAAGAACCAUAAAUCAAAUAUUAAUCCAUAAUAGUUGAUUAGAUUGGAGGCACCGAAUUGGCUAAGUGAUGAGAAGGGUGGGAAAGGUAAAUUCAAGCGGAUGUAAUUGAUGAGGAUAUUUGAGAGGGUGAAUGCAAUUAGAAGGGUGAAACGCUAGAGCUAACGGUUUCGCUGUCGUUAUAAUAAUAGACCAAAACUGGACCCUUCGAAAAUGAUUUUUCGAAUAAAAUUCAUUGGUGUAAAAUGUGAAUAAAUUUUCCUCCUGUUACGUUACGUCCUCUAUCUCCCCUCUCUUCAACGCGUCAGCCAAAGUACACAUCCAGGUGUGCAAAUGUACAAGAUUAGAACUGCGAACUACUGUUCCCUCGUUUCUUCCAUAAUUUUUGUUACGAUAAUGAGCCUAUUUUUAUACUACGACAUUUUACUAUAAUAUUAUGCAAAGGUUACAUAAAGGUGGAUCAAUUCCUCUGGGAAAUAAAAAAAAAAAAACCGAACCACUAUGGUUUAUUAAAACUAGUACGUGCGUUGCACACAUGGAAGAGUCGCCAAUUAGGAUAAUAAAGGGGGGAGGGGAGAACAGGCCUGCGAUUAUACAUGUGGUAUGCCACUGGUGCGCGUCACGAGCGACAAAGACAAAAGACAUCGUAAGAGAGAGACAAGGAGGAACGACGUGAUAAUCGAGCGGCUGAGGCCAGUGUUUAAUAAGCGAUAUCGAUAAAAUUGUAAACAGUGAAAGGAAUUUUUUGCUGCGCACACCGUUCGUGUGACGAAAAAAUGUCAACCACGACGAAACUCGUUCGAUAAAGCACCGCGAUGCGUGUUGCAAUUUUAUUUACACAUUCCAGACAGACAGAAAUUUUCAGUACGUUCGUAUACGUGUGUAAUAGCUGAUAUAAUUACUGAUCGUCCCAUCUCAUCGUCUGGUAAAACUGUAAAGAUCUUCUUUUAUCCGAGGGUGGAAAUUGAUCGGUAUGCACGAGCUCGGCCAGAUUUCCAUUUCACACGGAUCGAGACUCAAUGAAGUGGAAGAGGAGAAGCCGAGAGUGGCCGAAUAGAGAGAACAGGGUUGAGUAAAAAGUGGUUCAACGAAAAAGAGCUGGCGAAGAGGCACACGCGCGACAAGUGUUUCGCACACGCGCGCAACCAGCUGAAAGAACCCGCGUGUGUCGUCAUCAAGAACCCGGACUCGUUCCAGCUAAGCGACUCGUCGCUCUGCUCGUCGCGUUAUUCGCUUAUUUAUGAACAGAAAAAUAAACCGGAAUGCAUCACGUCCAUGCGAGGAUGAUGUUGCACCGCCACACCAAGGACGGCCGCGAUAGCAGUCGCUGUAUCAGCCGUGAAAUCGUAAACGCGAUUUAUCGCCAGACUUUCGAUUUCUUCGGAGGAUCCAGGAUGUCCCACCUCUUCUACGUAGAGUUUCCAACGCUGUGCAUAGAACUGCAAAGAAACUUGUUUCAUUGUUGGUAUGUUUAAUUCAUAAAAGGGUCCUCGGGGGCUGCGGCUGUGGUUGCAAAUUGUGAUCCACUCUGUUCGUAACCGAAAUUAAUUGUGCAUUACAAACCGGUAGCGGACGUUCCUUUUUCUUCGUUUAAAAAUAACAUUUCACGUCUAGAAGAUCGAGGCCUCGCAUCGACGCGCUAGGAAUUGUUGCAGUCAGCUUACGUCAGUUUCAACGGUACAAAUUGUUGGAAGGAGCAAGGUUGUAGCUAUAAUCGUGCGAUCAUUCAGCGCUCAUGCUGCGCGAGCGCUGUCAUGCGUGUCUUCGAGUCGUAAAACAAGACCCGUAGUCGAGUUAACACUAUUUCAGACCACGACUAAUUUAAUGAAUGCUCCACUCGUACUAGACCCAAAGCUUUAAUUCGUAAUGAUAUGUUACAUCAAUGAACCGUGAAGCUUAUCGCGAUUGACUAUUGCGCAUUGCGUUGGAAAUUAUUGAAAAAGAAUUCCAAUGGAGUGUUUGAACAGUCGCUUAAUCGUUUAAAACUAUUUUUCAAACGAUCUUAUCUUCGAGCUGUUAAUAAUUAUUAUCAAGGAAGUAUCGAAAGUGGAUGUCGGAGAGAGAUUUGCGUAACGAGACUUAAAAAUUUCACCGAUCAAUGAUGCUUUUGUUAUUUUUAAAUGUAAAAAGUAUCUCACGAAGAUCGCUGUUUUUAUUUUUAUACAAAUUUUGUUUUGGAGAUUAUAGUUCUGAAGUAUGGGUACUAUGCUGACCUCUGUCAUAGCAAUCUCUCAGAGAUCCCUGGGUAUAGGCAACCACGCGCUUGUUCUUCUAACGUGUCGCAUCCCUUCAGGCGCGAAGUCGGUGCAAUUUAGAUCGAAUGCAGUUGAGAGUAUAUUAAAAAAGUCAAACAACCAACAUUUUGUAGUGACUAUAGAAAAGAGUUUAGCAGUCCCUUAGGCCUGUAUUUAUUGGUGCUGUUUUACCAGAAUACAUCGAGUUUUACAGUCAACACUCUUUAUAUAUGGAACGACGCGCGACGUUUGCUGGACGAUCGUUCGUUUUCUAUGUAACGUACAUACGCGACCAGGAUACAUCGAGAUUUACAGUCAACAUUCUCUAUAUAUGGAACGACGUUUGCUGGACGAUCGUUCGUUUUCUAUGUAUCGUAUAUACGCGGAAUAAAUGCCACGGAAUACACGCGCGUACAAGUCAGCGAGCGUGUUCGUCAAGUUACAAAAGCGUACACUUUUUGUUUCGUCCUUGAUCGAUCCUCGAGAAAAGCAAAAUUGUCAUUUUACAUUUCCACGCCGUUUCGCGAACGAAACAAACAUUGUGAUAUAUUCAAACACUCUGAAAUAGAAAAAUCGUAAUAAAUAUGGACGCCUAGCCCGAAAACUGCGGCUUACACGCUAAUUGUAUAGAA